CUGAGCAGGUUCCUAGAAGAGUGCUGCGAAGGGGUGUCGCUCCGUGGAUGUGUGUCUGGGCCGCGAGCCAGCCCCUGUCCAGCCAGGGUGACCUUGGCCUGACAAUUCCUCAGACUAGUGGAAGGAGACAGGGCAACUUGAAAGUGGCAGGGAGCAGAGGCAAGGCUGCAGUGACAGGAACGUGGCGAGCGAGCAGAGCACAGGACGAGCUCAAAGGACUGCGAAGAGAGAAAUGAGAAGAGCAUCUAGGGGCAAAGGAGGCCGCCGGCACUGAGCAGUCAGCAGACUGAACACAAACAAGGGUCACGCUCUCCCCCCUUCCCACUUGCCACUGGCCCUUUGGAACACGCGCACGCGUGCACACACGCGCAUAGAAACCCACACUCGGGGGACAAGCUGAGGGAUGCCUGCUCGCAGCUGCAGGCAGACAUGUCACAGAUCCAACUGGCAUUUCUUCCUGAUAAUCUCAGCCGAGCAGCAGCGAGUGACAGGGGGUCAUUGCAAGGAUUAAAUUCGUGAACGUGGGGCACCUGGGUGGCUCGGUGGUUAAGCGGCCGACUUCAGCUCGGGUCAUGAUCUUGUG